CUCCUCCGUUGAGUGUCUCCAAAUACAAAAGGCAGAAGUUUCCGGAAAUACCACCCGGUCAAGUCUUGUGCCGCAGUACUGUUCGGAAGACGUGACACAUAGGGUGAAGAUGUGGAUGUGGACAUGAGUCCUCACGAGGUACAACAAUUUGAGGCAAUGACAUGGAUCCAGCACCUGGAAAAGUUCGUCCGAGACACCCACAGGUACGUCUCAAAAUGAUUUCGACUGGAUUCCAUUGCAUAGCUCAAGCGUCCGCCUCGUGGUGUCCUACAACCGAGUGUAGGUGGGGCAGGAGGAUGCGGGCGAAGGCGAGGAGGACAAGGGGACAUAGGUCACCAGUGAGGCUCCCAAUGUAAACGGGACAGAAGUGGGUUCUACCUGGGGCGCCUCAUGCCAGUUGCAGCUUGAUGCGGACGGCGCGCGUACCAGCGCAGGGAGCUCAGGUGCAGGUCAUGCGUGCACCGGUGGAGCUUGGGCGUCUUCCUGUUCCACUUA